rnacentral:lncRNA from 1 species
CUGGUUUCUUGCAGUAUCUACACACUAGGUCUGUUUUGUUGGUGUCAAAUCUAAUUUACUGAUUGAACUGUUUAGGAUUUGAAUGUGUUCCAUAAGGUUUUUUCAUAAACUGGGUGCUAAAAGCACUGGAAUCAGUAGGAAAUUGGGAAGGUGAAUGAGUGACUUGUCUCUGCCUCUCAUCCUGAAGGAGUAUGUUAUAUG